AGCAAUAUCGCUCUGAUACCGGUAUGGUCCGACACCUCUCGAAUAUAAGAUCUUCAUACCCUACUCCGACUCCAUACGUCCACGGCGUACAGAACGGUAACAUAUCUCUCCAAUAAUCUGAGCUUGGGUACACGGGGAAAUCCAACCCCUUGGGAGGAUGGGUUAUAUGGCUAAAUUAUGCGGG
rnacentral:ribozyme from 1 species